GUAAUGUUCUGAAAUUAUUACUGCUUUCCUUUGGGUUUAUUAUCAAGAUUUCAUGUAUUAACAGAGCGUCUCUUAUUAACUUUUAGAAGCGAAGAAUCAUCACCAGUAGAGAAGCAAAAAACAAAGAAAAAGACUCAGAGAACACCACAAAAGACACAAUCCAAAAAGAAAAAGGUCAUUGUUGAGGAUUCAUCUCCUGAGCAAGCUCAAUCCUAUCAUGGAUCUGAAAUUGGAACUGAAGAAUUAGAUGAAUUCUUAAGGGAA